UACGGAGGGGGCAAACGUUGCUCGGAAUCAUUGGGCGUAAAGCGCACGUAGGCGGCUCGUUAAGUCGGGUGUGAAAGCCCUCGGCUCAACCGAGGAAGUGCAUACGAAACUGGCGAGCUUGAAUAUGGAAGAGGAUCGCGGAAUUCCCGGUGUAGAGGUGAAAUUCGUAGAUAUCGGGAGGAACACCAGUGGCGAAGGCGGCGACCUGGGCCAAUAUUGACGCUGAGGUGCGAAAGCGUGGGGAGCAAACAGG
rnacentral:rRNA from 1 species